rfam:Ostreococcus lucimarinus CCE9901 chromosome 19, complete sequence.
GGGCUAUUAGCUCAGUUGGAAGAGCGUCAGACUUCGAAUCUGAAUGUCGCGGGUUCGAGCCCCGUAUGGCCCU